rnacentral:lncRNA from 1 species
UUACUGAUAAAAACCUAUUGGCUCGUAGAGGUAGUGUAGAGAUUCUCUACACUAGAGAACUGUGGAUAAACAUCAAUCAACCGGGACGAUUUUACGAUCUCACUUAUUCAAAACUAAAGACUCGGAGGAUCCAGUACUUGGAGUCUUUUAUUACUGUCAAUGAUUACAGACGAACCAGCUUAUUUAGAGGACGAAAAUCAUCCUGAUCAAGUUCCAUCACAGGAAAUGGUACGCAAGCCUCAAAAAAGUGCGUAGGUAACAUGAUGUUGAAAGAACGAGGAGAUUGGAAAAGAAAGAAGUAAAUUGAGAGCUAUACAGAUAAAUCUAAAAGUAAACAUAGAGGACAAUGAUGCAUUAGAGACUGGCAUAUCAUCUCAUACGGACAACACCGCAGGAGAGUUUUUUUAUAUUUGAACAAUUCAGCUUCGCUUCAAAGAAAGUUGGAUGCAUUGGAAAAAAAAUUUAAGCUCACCGUUUGGACUUACGGAAGAUAUUGAAAAUGCU